rnacentral:rRNA from 1 species
CCCGCUGAACUUAAGCAUAUCAAUAAGCGGAGGAAAAGAAACCAACAGGGAUUACCCUAGUAACGGCGAGUGAAGCGGUAACAGCUCAAAUUUGAAAUCUGGCCUUCACAGGUCCGAGUUGUAAUUUGUAGAGGAAGUUUCGGACAAGACUUUGGUUUAAGUUUCUUGGAACAGAACGUCAUAGAGGGUGAGAGUCCCGUCUAGAACCGCUAGUCGCGUCCAUGUGAAUCUCCUUCGACGAGUCGAGUUGUUUGGGAAUGCAGCUCAAAAUGGGUGGUAAAUUUCAUCUAAAGCUAAAUAUUGGCCAGAGACCGAUAGCGCACAAGUAGAGUGAUCGAAAGAUGAAAAGCACUUUGAAAAGAGAGUUAAACAGUAUGUGAAAUUGUUGAAAGGGAAGCGCUUGCAACCAGACUUGUGUAUAACGGUUCCCCCAAUCUUUUGACUGGGUUAUUCUGUUAUAUCCAGGCCAGCAUCGGUUCGGAUGGUUGUUUAAAGACUUUAGGAAUGUAUCUACCUUCGGGUCGACUUAUAGCCUAAUGUGUAAUACAGCCUAUCUGGACCGAGGAACGCGCUUUUGCUCGGAUGCUGGCGUAAUGGUUGUAAGCGGCCCGUCUUGAAACACGG